UUGAUUGUGUGUGAAAGCGCCUAUUCUAUCAUGUGAUAUUAACAGGAACCAAGUGUCAGCAAACCUGUGUUCUUUUGGAACUGCUUUUCUUCAACAUUCUCUAUAUGUAGCAAGAAUAAUAAAGUUAUUCAAGUUUCACAAGUCAGACGUGAACACUUCAUCAUAUUGCAACAUUUUGUGAUUCUCCUUCAUAUCAGAAAAGAGAAAAAAAAUCUUUCCAAUUAUUUCUUUAAUGAAUCAGUUACUUUAUGGAGCUUUUGAAAAUGUUAUUUUUCAGAUAGAUUCAACAAUCUUAUUCCUAUUGUGUAAUUUAGUGGUAAGCUUUCCCCAUUCAUCUUACCUGGGAAGCUCAAGCAUUUUAUAACCUCAAAAAGCCUGAUCCUUGUUUUGAACACACAAUUACCUAAAUGUUCCCAUUAUUUAAAAAGGAUAUUUCAACCAUCUCAAGGUUUACUUUUACUAGGAUUCUCAAGUGUUUUCAUUUAUUGAAUACUGACUCCAAUUGAAGCAGCUUUUAUAACACUGUCUAAAAUCUUAUAUUUUCUUAUUAUAUCUUAAAAUUCAUGAUUAUAUGACAUGCUACAUGCUGAUGUAACUGAACUGUCAACUUUCAUUUAGACAUUAUAACUUUAACAUUUGUGCAAAAGCCUAUUUGAAGCUUAAAAAUAUUUUGACACCAUAGCUUCU
rnacentral:lncRNA from 1 species